UCUGUGUAUGUGUAAAUGAAAGACUUAAUAAACCAGAAAUCCUGACAGAAGUGCUUACAGUGAUGGAAACAGAAGAACGGGGCACACUGCUUCAGAGCAUGCUUGAUCACUCUUCCAGGAAGGCUCACUUAGAAAAGCACCUUUCUAGAG